rnacentral:misc_RNA from 1 species
UUAAAUGAUAGCCAGUUUCCUCUUUGCUUUCGGCAAGAGAUUGAGCAGGCAUUAACCUUUGUGAACUGUAAUUGUACUUGGGGUACACUACUCUUUCGGAGGACGGUACCCGACAUUUUAUAAAACCCCCCUAUAUGUUUUUAACUGAAAUGUGAUCUAAGAGAAAAC